rnacentral:rRNA from 1 species
GACGAACGCUGGCGGCGUGCUUAACACAUGCAAGUCGUACGGUAAGGCCCUUUAGGGGGUACACGAGUGGCGAACGGGUGAGUAACACGUGAGUAACCUGCCCACAACUUUGGGAUAACGCUAGGAAACUGGUGCUAAUACUGGAUAUGUGCCCCUGCUGCAUGGUGGGGGUUGGAAAGCUCCGGCGGUUGUGGAUGGACUCGCGGCCUAUCAGCUUGUUGGUGGGGUAGUGGCCUACCAAGGCGGCGACGGGUAGCCGGCCUGAGAGGGUGACCGGCCACAUUGGGACUGAGAUACGGCCCAGACUCCUACGGGAGGCAGCAGUGGGGAAGAUUGCACAAUGGGCGCAAGCCUGAUGCAGCAACGCCGCGGGCGGGAGGACGGCCUUCGGGUUGUAAACCGCUUUCAGCAGGGACGAAGCUUUUUGUGACGGUACCUGCAGAAGAAGCACCGGCUAACUACGUG